UGAGCGGGAGAGUCCUGGCGAGGGCGCUGGCCGAGAGGUGCUCGGCUUGUAGCAGGUCCCGCACUCCAGCCUCUCGCUGCCAGGGUUUGCUCUCUGCUUGUCCUGGGCUGAGGUGUCCAUGACGGAGUCAUCCAAGGAGGAAAAAAUCUGUUCCGGGUGAGCCCAGGCCGCCCCGGAUAUGCGAUGGCUGAGGAGCAGACACCAGGGACCACACUGAGGUUGGGUUUCAGACCAAGACACUGGAUUCUCCUAGUUAAGAUAAAGAGCUUUGGGUGCCUGACAGUGAAAAUGGUGUAAUCUGCGUUAACAGUUCACAGCUUGAAGGCAUGACAAUUAAAGAACACACAUGGACUUGUGGCACAUGGAAAUGUGCGCACAGAAAAAGGAAAUCUAUAAUUCUUUUAAAGUAGGAAGGCAUUCUUCCUUGCCAAAAUGGGUACAUUCUGUUCGGUUAUCAAGUUUGAAAAUCUACAAGAAUUAAAGAGACUGUGUCACUGGGGUCCCAUCAUAGCCCUUGGUGUUAUAGCAAUAUGUUCUACCAUGGCCAUGAUUGACUCUGUGUUGUGGUAUUGGCCCUUACAUACAACUGGAGGAAGUGUGAAUUUCAUCAUGUUGAUAAAUUGGACUGUCAUGAUUCUUUAUAAUUACUUCAAUGCCAUGUUUGUCGGUCCGGGCUUUGUCCCUCUGGGGUGGAAACCGGUAAGAAAGAUUCUGUAAGACAAUGAACUUUAAUGAUAAUCGUAUAUUUGGUUUUUGCCUUAUCUACUAACCAAUAAUACCAAACACAGCCUACUGUUUGUCCUCACAGAGACUAAGUAUAUUACUCUAAUCACUG
rnacentral:lncRNA from 1 species